rnacentral:tRNA from 1 species
GGUAAAGUGGCCGAGUAGGCGGUGGGUUGUAGCCCCAAAGACAGAGGUUUAAGUCCUCUCUUUACUA